rnacentral:rRNA from 1 species
UACGUGACCUGACCUGGAGUGGGGGAUACCGGUCCGAAAGGGCCGCUAAUACCGCAUGUGGUCGUCGGGGGUGCCCGAUGAAGGAAGGCUUCUCGCAAGAGGAGUCGCUCUGGGAGGGGCGUGCGGCCGAUUAGCUAGCUGGUGGGGUAACGGCCUACCAGGGCGACGAUCGGUAGCUGGUCUGAGAGGAUGGUCAGCCACACUGGGACUGAGAUACGGCCCAG